GUAGCUUGCUACUGGACCUAGCGGCGGACGGGUGAGUAAUACUUAGGAAUCUGCCUAUUAGUGGGGGACAACGUUCCGAAAGGAGCGCUAAUACCGCAUACGCCCUACGGGGGAAAGCAGGGGAUCUUCGGACCUUGCGCUAAUAGAUGAGCCUAAGUCGGAUUAGCUAGUUGGUGGGGUAAAGGCCUACCAAGGCGACGAUCUGUAGCGGGUUUGAGAGGAUGAUCCGCCACACUGGGACUGAGACACGGCCCAGACUCCUACGGGAGGCAGCAGUGGGGAAUAUUGGACAAUGGGCGCAAGCCUGAUCCAGCCAUGCCGCGUGUGUGAAGAAGGCCUUAUGGUUGUAAAGCACUUUAAGCGAGGAGGAGGCUUACCUAGCUAAUACCUAGGAUAAGUGGACGUUACUCGCAGAAUAAGCACCGGCUAACUCUGUGCCAGCAGCCGCGGUAAUACAGAGGGUGCAAGCGUUAAUCGGAAUUACUGGGCGUAAAGCGCGCGUAGGUGGCCAUUUAAGUCAAAUGUGAAAUCCCCGAGCUUAACUUGGGAAUUGCAUUCGAUACUGGAUGGCUAGAGUAUAGGAGAGGAAGGUAGAAUUCCAGGUGUAGCGGUGAAAUGCGUAGAGAUCUGGAGGAAUACCGAUGGCGAAGGCAGCCUUCU
rnacentral:rRNA from 1 species